AUGAUAGUCCAGAAAAAUUAAAUCUAUUUUUCUACAGAACAUGUACAGCGUGGGCAGAAGCAGUGCCAUCUUCCUGAUACCACAACAUCAACAUGCCUCUGAACUAUUCUGGAGGAUCUACAUCUUAGGGGUGAGACCGUGACCCAUUGCCUAUUCACUCUUUGGCCUCU
rnacentral:sRNA from 1 species